rnacentral:rRNA from 1 species
UACGAAGGGUGCUAGCGUUGUUCGGAAUCACUGGGCGUAAAGCGCGCGUAGGCGGCUAUUCAAGUCAGGGGUGAAAUCCUGAGGCUCAACCUCAGAAUUGCCUUUGAAACUGCAUAGCUAGAGUGUCGGAGGGGAUAGCGGAAUUCCUAAUGUAGAGGUGAAAUUCGUAGAUAUUAGGAGGAACACCGGUGGCGAAGGCGGCUAUCUGGACGACAACUGACGCUUAGGCGCGAAAGCGCGGGGAUCAAACAGG